CUGCAGUGAUGAGAUCUGAGUAGACUGACCUGGUAUUGCCUCCCUCUGGGGAGAGCUCUGACCAGGGAAUGAUCUCACUUCAAUCUUCUCUCUGAGCAG